rnacentral:rRNA from 1 species
GUGCCAGCCGCCGCGGUAAUACGGGGGGGGCUAGCGUUGUUCGGAAUUACUGGGCGUAAAGGGCGCGUAGGCGGUCUGCUAAGUUGGAUGUGAAAACUCUGGGCUUAACCCAGAGCCUGCAUUCAAUACUGACAGGCUAGAGUUCUGGAGGGGAUAGCGGAAUUCCUGGUGUAGCGGUGAAAUGCGUAGAUAUCAGGAGGAACACCGGUGGCGAAGGCGGCUAUCUGGACAGAGUCUGACGCUGAGGCGCGAAAGCUAGGGGAGCAAACAGGAUUAGAUACCCUAGUAGUCC